rnacentral:rRNA from 1 species
GAUCAUGGCUCAGGACGAACGCUGGCGGCAUGCCUAAUACAUGCAAGUCGAACGCUGAAACACUCUGCUUGCAGAGUGUGGAUGAGUGGCGAACGGGUGAGUAACACGUGGGGAAUCUGCCUAUAAGUGGGGGAUAACAUUCGGAAACGGAUGCUAAUACCGCAUAUAUUCAAAAACCGCAUGGUUUCUGAAAGAAAGACGGCUUUGCUGUCGCUUAUAGAUGAUCCCG